UUCCGGUUGAUCCUGCCGGAGGUUACUGCUAUCGGUGUUCGCCUAAGCCAUGCGAGUCAUAUGUAGCAAUACAUGGCGUACUGCUCAGUAACACGUGGAUAACCUGCCCUUGGGUCCGGCAUAACCCCGGGAAACUGGGGAUAAUUCCGGAUAACGCACAUAUGCUGGAAUGCUUUAUGCGUCAAAUGGAUUCGUCUGCCCAAGGAUGGGUCUGCGGCCUAUCAGGUAGUAGUGGGUGUAAUGUACCUACUAGCCGACGACGGGUACGGGUUGUGAGAGCAAGAGCCCGGAGAUGGAUUCUGAGACAUGAAUCCAGGCCCUACGGGGCGCAGCAGGCGCGAAAACUUUACAAUGCGGGAAACCGUGAUAAGGGGACACCGAGUGCCAGCAUCAUAUGCUGGCUGUCCAGGUGUGUAAAAUACACCUGUUAGCAAGGGCCGGGCAAGACCGGUGCCAGCCGCCGCGGUAACACCGGCGGCCCGAGUGGUGAUCGUGAUUAUUGGGUCUAAAGGGUCCGUAGCCGGUUUGGUCAGUCCUCCGGGAAAUCUGAUAGCUCAACUAUUAGGCUUUCGGGGGAUACUGCCAGACUUGGAACCGGGAGAGGUAAGAGGUACUACAGGGGUAGGAGUGAAAUCUUGUAAUCC
rnacentral:rRNA from 1 species